UUGGAGUAAAGAGGAAACAAGCCCAGGUUUAGACUCAGUCCCUGUGUAACCACCAGCAAAUUCCUUAAAUGUUCUGGGCAUCAGUAUAUUGUUAGUUGAAAAAUGGAAAUUAUCAUGCCUAUUAUUGAGAAUAAAGAUACCGGUUUGUUCCCCUUUUCUUUUUUAGCCCGUGGCCCCUUGGCUUAGAUGUCCACCCACCCACUGAGAAACCAGUAUCCUAAUCAGUAGACACCUGCCGUUGUCUACUGAGAAUUUUGCUGAGAAUAGGAUACUUUAAUUUGAAGGAAAAAAGAGCUGAGAUUACAUUAGGAGAUCAACAAAGACCUGUAACAAUCAUCACUGACAUUAAUCACACUGAUAGCCACUCAGUAACAGGGCCAAAGAGAAGUGCCUGAAGGUUGCUGUCUUGGCCACUAAUUGAGCCUGAGACAAAGGCAUGGGUGCAGUUAGUUGAUGUGGAGACAUGAGGCUUGGGAGCAUGGAAUGAGAAGAGAGUUAAAAGAGAAGAAGAGAAAACCAACAUGGGAAUGCAUUAUCCCCAUGGGUGGGUUAUUCUUAAGGGCAACCAGUUACUUUUGAGAAUCUUUUGAGAAUUAUGCUCUAUAUGCCUCAAAACUAUUCACUUGGGGAGGAAGAGGGAAGCAUUUAUCCAUAGCUUCCUGACCUCUCUUGGACACGGUUCGAUACUUGGAGAGUUAACUACUCUUCGGAGGACUGGUCCCCAGGGGUCUCCCUUGUGUUAGCAGGAGAGAAGAUCUGACAAAGCUGGUUGAAGCUUGAGAGGCUCUGGUCAUGGCAGCACGGCUGUUUACAAGAGGGGCCUGAUACAGUCAGGCCCCCUGACCACAUUAAGCCCAGACAGGUAGGGUUUUAUUUUAGUAUUAUUAUUAUGUUGCUUUUGAGGGCCACACCGGCAGCAUAGGGAAGUUCCCAAGAUAGGGGUCUAAUCAGAGCUGUAUCCACCAGCCUACACCAUAUCCACAACAAUGCAGGAUCCUUAACCCACUGAGUGAGGCCAGGGAUCGAACCUGCAUCCUCAUAGAUACUAGUUGGAGUUGUUUCUGCUGAGAUACAACUGGAACUUGAGGUGUGUUUUUAAAGGGAAGCUAGGGAAAGAGAUCUCACUAAGGCCUCCCACCCCUGCUAUCCAGAACUUUCUUCUGACUUCAAAUUCAAUACAAAUACUCUGUCCACAGUUUAAACUCAUUUCCUAAAGAAUAUUAUAGUAAACGAGAAAGCAAAAAAGUCGCAAGGAUGGCACAUCGCACAUAUAUAUUUAUAUUAAAAACACUUAUUGUGUCAUUGUCACAUAUAGGGGAGCAAAAUUUGCCUCCCUAAAAUGUCUCUUUGGCAUGCUGGUUAUUUUGAGCCGAAGACAGUCAGGAAAUAGAAGACUCAGGAGGUUUUUUCCUGGAGUCCCUGUUGGCCUAGUGGUUAAGGAUUCAGCAUUGUCACUGCUGGGGCUCUGGUUUGGUUGCAUGCCUUGGGCAUGGCCAAAAAAAAAAAAAAGAAAGGGAAGUCUUUCUUUUGCCUCCCCGUUACCUGCCUAAAGAAUUUAAGUAAAGGCCUGCUUUUGGAAUAGAGUUAUGACCAAAGAUAUCUAAAAAGAAACCGGCUAAGUGUGGUGAGGUAACCAGGCAGGACCCAGAGAUCAGAGUCCACUCUGUGUCCUGUGGUCUCCACGGGGCCCAGCCAAUAUUUGUUUCCCAAACAUCUGCUUUUCCAUCUCCAUGUGAAUCGCCUCCCUCCCCCGUGAAGUCCUAAACCUCUACCCCGACAUGCUCUUUGUCUUUAGCUGAGGAUGGUGUUUAAGCCUGUGUAUUGAAACAAAUGCAGGCACAAAGAUCAGAGCUACAAAAUAUGUGAAGCAAAAACCGAUAGGCCUGGAAAAGAAUUAGACAAGUUCACAAGUACAGUUGGAGACUUUGACACCCCUCUCUCAACAAUGGAUCGAAUAACUAGCCAGAAAACUAGGUAAGAUGCAGAACUCCACCAGAGGGUCAACCAACAAGAUCUGACGGAUAUUUACAGAACCCUCCACUCAACUGUAGUAGAAUACAGAUUCUCCUCAGGUACGCGAGGAACAUACACCACGAAAGAGGGUGCCUAGAGUGGUAAGGGCACUGCACGCCCGUUAAAAUGGCCCCAAUCCAAAAACUGACAACACCGAAUGCUACUGAGUAACAGGAGUUCCCCAGAAGGCUGUACACCUGGGCGCUGGAGGCAGGCGACCUGGAUUGAAACCUGCCUCUGCCACUUCAGGAAUAUGUGACCUCGUCCCAGUCAUCAGCCUCGCAGAAAUGCAAACUCUCCAUCCUUACAGCUGUUGCAGUUCUCAAGCUACUGUGUGUUUUCACAAGCAGCACAUGCAUGUAACCAGCCCCUUGAUCAUGAAACAGAACUUUUCCCAGACUUUGGACAUCUUUGUGCUCCCUUCUUGUCAUUAUGUGCCAAACGACCAACCAUCCUGACGUCCAAGGGCACAGAUGAGCUGUGCCUGCUUGGUACCUCGUGCCAAUGGAAGGCUGCCGCGCAUGCUAUUACGUAUUUGACAUCUUGCCUUACCAUCAUGUUCUGAGAUUCAUCGCCUGCAUGUAAUAACAAAUGAUCAUUUCUUUGCUCC